UCUGUACAGAAAGUGUGAUAAAUUAAUUUGGAAAAAAUAUUUAAACGAAGCAAAUAUGAAGACCAUUUUCUUUUUGAUAACUUUGGUAUGCUACUGCCUCUGUGACCCGAAACCCACCCUUCCUCUAUUAGGUGGACUGCUAGGUGGUGGUGGCGAUAAGUGCGACAAGCCAGGCGGACCAGGCAACAACCCAGGAGGCGGUCCC